GCCGGGUGCCGGUGGCAUGUGCCUGUAAUCCAAGUCACUGGGAGGCUGAGGUUGGUGGAUCAAGUGAGCUGAGGAGCUCUGGCUGCAGCACAAUAUGUCGAACGGGUCUCCACGCUAAGUUUGGUAUCGAUAUGGUGUUCCUGGGGGAUACCGGGACCACCAGGUUGUCUAAGGAGGGGUGAACUGGCCCAGGUUGGAGAAGAAGCAGGUCAAAUCCCCCGUGCUGUCCAGUAGUGGGAUAAUACCUGUGAGUAGAUGCUGCAAUGCAGCCUUGGCAAAACAUCGAGACCUAAUCUUUC
rnacentral:SRP_RNA from 1 species